AACGAACGCUGGCGGCAGGCCUAACACAUGCAAGUCGAGCGGGCGUAGCAAUACGUCAGCGGCGGACGGGUGAGUAACACGUGGGAAUAUGCCUUUCGGUUUGGAACAACUCGGGGAAACCCGUGCUAAUUCCGGAUACGCCCUUAGGGGAAAGGAUUUAUCGCCGAAGAUUAGCCCGCGUCCGAUUAGCUAGUUGGUGAGGUAACGGCCCACCAAGGCGACGAUCGGUAGCUGGUUUGAGAGAACGACCAGCCACACUGGGACUGAGACACGGCCCAGACUCCUACGGGAGGCAGCAGUGGGGAAUCUUGGACAAUGGAGGAAACUCUGAUCCAGCCAUGCCGCGUGAGUGAUGAAGGCCUUC
rnacentral:rRNA from 1 species